GGGCCUAAUUUUACACCUGUCUUUCCAUUACCCUAAUCUGCAUUUUCCACUUCAUUUUAACAUAUUUUUUUUCCCAAGAUCAAAUACACUUGUCAGUUUCUGUGACAGCCAAAUAUCUUUGAUUUUUUUCUACUUUUAUUUCUGAUUUUAACUUUUUCCUACUUUUAGGAUUAUAGGCUACCCUCUAGGUAAGAGCUGUCAGAUUUCUCUCCCUGAGAUACAUUUUGUAUUUUACAAAAAUGAAACUUAAAAAGAAACAAUUACAAGUAUUAGAAGUUGUGGGGAAGGCAGAGAGGGUGUGGAAUAAGGCUUGAAUUUUUAUUUUAAAGAAAGCAAAGGAGGAACCUCCACUACCUCUUCACUGAAGGGUGGUCAAGUCCAUGCAAGUCCCUGGGUGCAUUUCACAGGGAGGCCAAAAAGCAGCAGCAGGCAUGUCCCUGGCUCCGUGCCCUGCUAUGCCAGGCAGGCUGCAGUGCUGCCCCAGUGGUGCCAUGGCUGUAGCACCCUGGCUGUGGGGCUGGCUGGACUCUUGCUGAGUUUCCCAGCCCCGGCAUGCCCUUCCCAGGGCACCAUGGACCCCAUGGGCAUCUCGACUCCCUGCACGGCACAGGGACAGCUCUGCAUGGGGAGCUGAGCAGGAAUGGCAGCAGCUGGAGACUAAUCCCAGGGCAGAUUUGUCCCUGGGCUCCCAGGUGCAGGUAGCCCUGCAGGAGUGCAGAGCCGCAGCGCUGGAGGCAGGGCCAGCAGCCCCAGCAGGGCCAGGCCCGGCACAAGGGCUGCAGCCAUGGGCAGCAGCUCCCAGGGGCAGAGCCACCGCCAGGGCCCACCUUUGCUGCUUUCUGGGACGCUGAGUGCUACUUAAGCUGCACGAGCAGCUGACAGUCCUGGGGACGGAGUACGUGCCUCAGUGCUGCAGCUGGAGACACAAAUGAUUCCCUGUCCAGCGAGCGCUGGGCAGUAGCACAGGGGAAAUCGCAAAAGAGGUCCCAUGAGGGUCUGUGUUGCAUGGACACCCACACUCCCAGCCUGAGAAAGAUGCCUUGUGGUGCUUUAGACCAGAGCCCAGAGACCCCAGUGCCAAGCUCUCAUCUUCAGGACAGCCAGGAAGCAGCACCAGAGCAACCACCCUGCUGCUGUGAUGCACAAGGAAACCAGGGUUGUGGACUGAAGCUUGGUCUGAAUUGCCUGGGUAGUUGCUUCUUUUGGUCCAAGGAAUUGAACAAAAUUGCAAAAUGUUUCUACUAGGAAGAAAGGCUAAGAGGCAUGUAAUUUUCCAAGUAUGUAAAGCAUUUUUUUCCUGUGAGUAUACAAUAAAAGGCCACCAGGAAC